ACUCUCUUGGAUGUGGUGGACCGCCCAACCUGUGACCCGCGCUCUCUAAGGUCGUGACCUCUGUCUGCCAAAAAGCCUAAAAUGAGCCUGGUUUAAAGAUGAGCCUGGUUUAAAGAGCUACCGCAGGUUGAAAUAUACUAAUAAAUAUACUAUUACUGCUCUAACAAACCACUUCCUUGUGUUGACAUCUUCAACCAAAAUGUAGAUUGUUAUAGCAAUGGGGGAUGACGAUCUAGCACCACACACUGUGUUUUGUCUUCCCAUUCUGCUUUCGAUAUCUGCCAGAGACCAUUAGGAUCACACCUGAAAUCAAGUUAAGUUUACUAUUUGCUGCAACAAAGGAGACCCUACGUGAUGCAAAACAAAGGUCGCACCUGAGCUGAAUCUUGCAGUGUCCUAGAGUUGCCUGGGUGAAAACAAGUGGAAAGAACAGAAGGAAUGCUCGGCAGAAGCAAGAGAGAACACAGCAUAUUUCCUCUCUAAUAACUUGUCCUGAUUCUGGCAUCUACAAAUGCUAACAUCUCUGAAUUUAGCUGGGCUAUUUU